GGUUGUUUGGCCGAGCGGUCUAAGGCGCCUGAUUCAAGAAGUUCUCUUCUUAACGCUGUCGUACAGCGGGAUCCUCAGGUAUCGUAAGAUGCAAGAGUUCGAAUCUCUUAGCAACCA
rnacentral:tRNA from 1 species